UACGAAGGGGGCUAGCGUUGCUCGGAAUUACUGGGCGUAAAGGGCGCGUAGGCGGCUCUGUUAGUCAGGCGUGAAAUUCCUGGGCUCAACCUGGGGACUGCGCUUGAUACGGCAGGGCUAGAGUGUGGAAGAGGGUCGUGGAAUUCCCAGUGUAGAGGUGAAAUUCGUAGAUAUUGGGAAGAACACCGGUGGCGAAGGCGGCGACCUGGUCCAUUACUGACGCUGAGGCGCGACAGCGUGGGGAGCAAACAGG
rnacentral:rRNA from 1 species